GCCUGCCGAGCGGCCGCUCGCCGCUCCCGGCCCGCCCGUCCCCGCCGGGCUCUGCAGGGCGAGCACAAAGUUGUGUGGUGCGAGCGCCAGUGUGCCGGGUGCUGCUGUUGAGCGGGGCUUGUCCUUGCUAGAGAAAAAGGUGGAAACGCAGGGAGGGAGGGUGGUGGGCGCGGUGCCGAGCGGGCGCUGGAGAGCCCUGGAAAGGCGCGGUGUCCUUGGCAUCCUGCUCGCGAUUUGCCCGUGGUCUGAGGGCUAGCGCCCUAGUGCCGCAGAUAAGGGAGGGGAUUGGGGCAGGGGAGCGGAGUGACACAGGUACACGGGGAGAGUCGCUAAAUCUGCGCCGCCGCGCCAACAAAGGUGACACGGGUGACUCGCAGCUUCGUGGUUGUGGCCCCGUAACCGGGAGGAGUUUCAUGUCUGUAGAAGUGUGCACGCGGCGCAGCAUCACUGAUGACUUUGACAUAGUUGAAUAUUUACAGGCUAGAGGAGCAGCACUACAGUCAUAAUAAACUGCUUUUGAAGUGCCCAGCUAAACUACAUUGGUUAGUACUCACAUGCCAUUCAAUAGGGGAUGACAGUCUAUCAGAAUUUCCUCUACUCUGCAUAAUUUUGAUUGUUGCAGUUAUAGGCCAGUCAGAGCUCGGAGCAACAGGGACUAUAUAGUGUCUUAUCGCUGUGAGUAAUCACCUUGAAAUUAAGAUAUGAAAAAAAUUUCAGUGAAAGAUAUGGCCAGAAGCAGCUUUGAUUUGCUAAGUGAGCUGAAAACUGUAGAUAUCUUUUGUUUCAAACCCCCAUUUGCUAAAUCACCUUUAUCAUUAAGAGGGGGAUACUCUGGAGCCGUGAUAUGCUAUUUCCAAAUAUUAUGACUUUCUCUACUCUGCUCUUU